AUGCCGCUGCUGGUGACGCUUCUGGCCGCACCAGCCACGGCGGCCGCCGCGCCCGUCCGCCGUUGCCCGACGAGCUGCGGCCUGAUCGACUUCUCCUACCCGUUCGGCGUAGGCCCCCGGUGCUCGCUGCCGGGGUUCAACCUCACCUGCGACGCCAACGGGCGCCUCCUGCUCGGCAGCCCCAGCGUCACGGUGGACUACACGAUCUUGGCGAGCGGCUUCAUUUCCUCGCUCGCCGUCAACAUCGUGCGCACGGUGCGCAUGGGACCCCGCGCCGGCGUCGGGACGGUCUCCGCCUCAUGGGACGGCCCCGGCAGGCCGUUCGCCAUCUCCGGCACGUCUAACAUGUCGCUGUUCGUCCUCGGCUGCGGCGUCACGGCCACGCUGCUCGACCGUGGGGCUGCGGUGGGGAACUGCUCCGUGGCCUGCGCCGGGGAGGAGGUCAUGCGGAGGCUGCCGGACGGGCUCUGCGUCGGCGUGGGCUGCUGCCGCAUCAAUGUACGCGUACACCUCCGGGCGUUCACCGUGAACUUGUCACGCACCGGCGACGGUGUAAGCCGGGACAAACUGACCUUCUUCGUCACCGGCCAGGGCAGGUACACGUUCCGGCCCAGCGAUCUGGAGCGUGACAUUCAUCCCGACAUGGUCCCUCCGGCUCGGCUGGACUGGGCCAUCCCUGGCCAGCCAGACUGCCGGCACGCCAUGGACGACAGGGUGACAUAUGCCUGUGUCAGUAACCAGAGCGAGUGCCGGGACUCGCCGAUCGGAGGCUACGCCUGCCACUGCUCCCGGGGCUUCUCCGGCAACCCCUAUGCCGUCGAUGGCUGCGUGCCAGACCAAGUUUAUGGCUCCAUUCAGCCGAAGGCGAACUGUCCGACGAUGUGCGGGAACGUGAGCGUUCCAUUCCCCUUCGGCACAGAGCUGGGCUGCUUUGCCAGGAUCCAUCUUUACCUGACAUGUAACCCAGGGCGCUCUCCUGCCAUCCUCCAAAUGACCCAGCACUCAUAUCCAUCGACGAGGGCGUGUUGAGGAUUCAGAAGCGGUCCGACCCGGGUGAUUUCUUGGGGGAUCGAGACACCACGCUCUACUCGUUCUCUGGAGAAUCGGGCAUGGUGAAAUGGGCUGUCGAUGACCCGACGUGCAGGGAGGCAAUGCUGAACAACAAGGAGUACAGAUGCUUGAGCGCUCAUAGCCACUGCGUGGAUGUCACCGACGACAGAACAAGCAAGCAUGUGGGAUACAGGUGCAAAUGCUCUUCCGGUUUCCAAGGAAAUCCUUACCUCCAAGGUGGAUGCACAGAUAUCAACGAGUGCUUGCAGCCAGAUAAAUACACUUGCAAUGGAAUCUGUCAGAAUAGCCUCGGAAGUUUUACUUGCUUUGGUUGCCCGCGUGGGACAGAUUUUGACAUUAUUGCAAGGAAGUGCAAAGCAUCCAAUGUUAUCUUAGGUGUUACCAUUGGACUGAGCUCUGGCGCGGGGAUUCUGUUUCUUGCCGUGAUUACGAUCAUUAUCAUCCAUAGAUGGAAGAAAGGCGUCCAGAAACAGCUCAAGAAGAGCUACUUUCGCAAGAACAAGGGCAUCCUCCUUGAACAGCUCGUCUCCUCUGACCCAAGUGCCAGUGACAGCACCAAGAUAUUCUCCCUGGAAGAGCUAGAGAAGGCGACCAACAACUUUGACCACUCGCGCGUGGUCGGCCGUGGCGGCCACGGGACGGUCUACAAGGGCAUCCUGAUGGACCAGCGCGUUGUCGCCAUCAAGAGGGCAAAGCUGGUGGCGAGCGCCGAGAUCGACCAGUUCAUCAACGAGGUUGCCAUCCUGUCGCAGAUCAACCAUCGGAACGUCGUGAAGCUCCAUGGAUGCUGCCUGGAGUCCGAGGUCCCUCUGCUCGUCUACGAGUUCGUCUCCAGCGGCACGCUCUACGACCUCUUGAACGGGGCGCAAGAUGGUAGGCUUCUGCCGAUGCCUUGGGAGGAGCGCCUAAGGAUCGCCACCGAGAUCGCGGGCGCGCUCACGUACCUGCACUCGGCAGCUUCAAUGUCGAUACUUCAUCGAGACAUCAAGUCCAUGAACGUGCUCCUGAACGACAGCCAUACGGCAAAGGUUUCGGAUUUUGGUGCGUCGAGGUCGAUACCGAUUGACCAGACACAUCUGGUCACUGCCGUGCAGGGCACCUUUGGCUACUUGGAUCCGGAGUACUACCACACGGGCCGAUUAACCGAGAAGAGCGAUGUCUACAGUUUCGGGGUGAUUCUUGUCGAAUUGCUGAUGAGAAAGAAGCCGCUCAUUGAGAACGAGAAUGGCGAGAAGCAGAACUUGUCCAACUACUUCCUGUGGGCUAUGGGGGAGAGGCCUCUAGAGGAGAUAGUGGAUAAGCAGGUUCUGCGGGAAGAAGAUAUAGAGGCGAUCAAGCACGUGGCUUUCUUGGCGCGAGAGUGCUUGAACCUGAGAGGGCAGAAGAGACCUAGCAUGAAGGACGUGGAGAUGAGGUUACAAUUCCUGAGGGCACGGAAGGUUGCUCCAGGAAAGGAUGAAGUAGUUCGAUCUCACCGUGAUGUAGUAGGAGGAGAUUGGCAUGGAGGCGUUGUUCCGGCGGCUGGUCACGAUGGCACACGCCAGUACAGUCUAGAGCAAGAGUACGCGUCAUCCUUGCGCAUACCACGAUAA
rnacentral:rRNA from 1 species